CACAAAUGUAGCGACGGAAAUCAACAGCCCAGCAACUAGAGACCGACCCCCCUACGAAAAAAGCUGAACAAAAAUCGGUUAUACAAAUAUCUAUUUCUAUCGUUUGGAUAGAUAACAGGCCGAUAAAAAAAACAACCGGGCUAGUAAACAAUUAACAACAAAUGUUCAUAUACACACACACACAUGCAUAUAUAUAGUCACACUUGUUUAAAUAUAUCCCAACAUACCAAAAAUACAAUAUAGCUUGAGAACAAUAUUAUAAAAAUAUAAUUUUAAUAUAAUUUUUCAACAAUGCUUGAGAAACACUUAUGUUCCAUAAACUUUUCUCAAAUCUGUCCUUUGUUGACAAAUUAGUUUUGAUUUUUUGUGAAAAUUGUCAGAAAGAAAUUAUUUUCUUUGGCAAAAAACAAAAUCACGCGAAUUUAGGACCCAUUUCUGGACCGAACCCUUAAGAUCGGAAGCAUCAAAAAAGUAGCAGGAAUUCAAUAGAUGUGUAGUCUUAGUGGAAGAGAUGCAGAAGUUCAAAUAAGGGAGAAGAAAGCGUCAGGGUAUCAAGGCCACAUGAGGCAGUGACUACUGGGAUGUCCAUCAAGAAAAAAAUGUUAAAAAUGAUUAAAAACUAAAAAAAUAAUAUUUUAUACUAUUACAAAAAUA